ensembl:lncRNA
AUUCCUUCUGGGACUGGGAGCAGGCCGAGGCCAGAAACUGAAGCGCAGACAGGGAAGUGAGCCUCUUCACCUCCCUUAUGCUGGAGGACAGGGUGAGGGCACAGGAGCAUCUCAGGGCCACAGUGAUCUGGCUUUUCUGCAGGUGAAGCAUGGAGGGCAUCAUGAAGUGGCUUCUUUCACCAGUUUCUGCAGCUGGAAGCAAAAGAGAUGCGAAAGGAGAAAUACUGUCACACAAGCAGUCACAGUUUGAAGCAUGUGAAGGAUUCGACCUGUCCCUGUUGAUUUGAAGAUGAAGAUAACAGUGUAAUGAGGAAAGCAGGUUGCCUUGGAAGCUGAGAGAGGCCUCUGGCUGACACUGGGAAAUAGAGUCACCUGCCCUGCAACACAAGGGGCUGAAUUCAGCCAACAACCUGAAUGAGGUUGAAGGCAUAUUCAUCUCCCAAGCCUCUAGAAGAAAGAAGCCAUGGACACCUGGCUUUUGGCUUUAUGAAACUCAACUCAGCCACACUCUGGGACUUCUGAAUUACAGAACUGUAAGAAAAUGAAUGAGGGUUUCAGCCAUUAUGUUUACGGUGCAGUGUCAAUGGGG